AUUGAACGCUGGCGGCAUGCCUUACACAUGCAAGUCGAACGGCAGCACGGGUGCUUGCACCUGGUGGCGAGUGGCGAACGGGUGAGUAAUACAUCGGAACGUACCUUAUCGUGGGGGAUAACGCAGCGAAAGCUGUGCUAAUACCGCAUACGCCCUGAGGGGGAGAGCGGGGGAUCGCAAGACCUCGCGCGAUUAGAGCGGCCGAUGCCUGAUUAGCUUGUUGGUGGGGUAAAAGCCCACCAAGGCGACGAGCAGUAGCUGGUCUGAGAGGACAAUCAGCAAACCUGGGACUGAGACACGGCCAAGACUCCUAGGGGAGGAGGCAGUGGGAAAUUUUGGAAAAUGGGGGCAACCCUGAUCCAGCAAUGCCGCGUGAGUGAAGAAGGCCUUCGGGUUGAAAAGCUCUUUUGUCAGGGAAAAAACACCGGCUCUAACACAGUCUGGGAAUGACGGUACCUGAAGAAUAAGCACCGGCUAACUACGUGCCAGCCGCCGCCGUAA
rnacentral:rRNA from 1 species